rnacentral:misc_RNA from 1 species
UGUUUGACAUAAGUGUCUUAUUCCAAGAAUGCACAAUGUUAGCCAUAAUCCAACAUAAUUCAUCUUUUGGCAUUAGGAGUGGAAAAUAGCAAUAUUGUUCCUUGCAUUGCAGUAUUCUGAAAAAGUUCUAGGCCUGGGCAAGAAAUAGGUACAAUUGAUUAUAUAAAUAGGUAUAUGAAAUUAUUUGAUAUGUUAAAAGGAAUCCAGUAGAAGCAGUAGCAGAGUUUUGAAGAUG